GGCUCUUUAUAGAUUUAGGGCUAUGAAGCGAGCAGGCGCUCCCGACGAUGCCGCCGCUGCUGCUGCCAAGCGCGGCCGCCAAGAGACGGAGGUGAGGAGGGACUGCCCCUACCUUGACACAGUGAAUCGCCAGGUUCUGGACUUUGAUUUCGAGAAGUUUUGCUCGGUUUCUCUCUCGAAUCUCAAUGUCUACGCCUGCCUGGUGUGUGGGAAGUACUUCCAAGGCCGGGGAAGGAAGUCUCAUGCGUACACGCAUAGCCUGGAAGCCGGCCAUCAUGUGUUUAUCAACUUGCACAGUGAGAAGGUCUACUGCCUUCCCGAUGGCUACGAGGUGGAUGAUCCAUCGCUGGACGACAUUCGCCAUGUCUUAAAUCCCAGGUUUACGGGCGCUCAAGUUUCGCAGCUCGAUAAAAGCAAGCAGUGGGCGAGAGCUCUCGAUGGCUCCGACUAUCUACCUGGAAUGGUGGGGCUUAACAAUAUCAAGGAGACGGACUUUGUCAACGUUAUAAUACAGUCGCUCAUGCGGGUGACUCCGCUCCGGGACUUUUUCCUGAUACCAGAGAACUACAGGCAUUCCAGUUCUCCUCUUGUCCAUCGCUUUGGGGAGCUCACGAGGAAGAUAUGGCAUGCCAGGAACUUCAAAGGACAGGUCAGUCCCCACGAGUUUCUUCAGGCGAUCAUGUCUGCCAGCAAGAAGAAGUUCCGUAUAGGUGUGCAGUCUGAUCCCGUGGAAUUCUUCUCCUGGCUUCUGAAUACGCUGCACAGCGAACUGGGUGGUACAACACUGCGCAACAGUAGCAUCAUCUACCAAUGUUUCCAGGGCGAGCUAGAAGUGUUGAAGGAAUUGCAGUCCGACCCGAAUAACCGAGAGAUUAGCAGGCUGCCAUUUCUGAUGCUUGGACUCGAUCUACCCCCACCUCCACUUUUUAAAGAUGUCAUGGAGAAAAACAUCAUCCCACAGGUUCCUCUUUUCAACAUCUUGAAAAAGUUCGAUGGUGAAACGCCGACUGAGGUGGUGAGGCCACAGCCAGCACGAAUGCGUUAUCGUGUAACGAGGUUGCCGAGGUAUUUGAUCUUACACAUGAGGCGCUUCAAGAAGAAUAACUUCUUCAUUGAAAAGAAUCCAACACUGGUGAACUUCCCGGUGAAAAAUCUGGAGCUGAAAGACUACAUCCCACUGGGUUCCGCUGAUGGCAGCAAGAAAGCCCGCUCAAAGUACGAUCUCAUUGCCAACACCGUCCACGAUGGCAAGCCCAGGGAAGGCUCUUACCGCGUGUUUGUGCAGAGGAAAUCGGAAGAAGUAUGGUACGAGAUGCAAGACCUUCACGUGACAGAAACUCUGCCGCAGAUGGUUGCGCUCUCUGAGGCGUAUAUGCAGAUCUACGAGCAGCAGCAAUAACCAAGCCGAUCUUGGUACGUGCUCAAGAUUUAACUUUGGUUUUUUUUUAUUCUUUCUUUACGUCUCCCGGUUUGAUUCAACGCUCUUCGCUUUCACAGUGCAUAGUAAUUCCCGUUUUGCUGCUGCUAUAGUGGACUGGACAUGACUGAGAGUUCCCUCUUGACGUUUAGUACCUUAAUACUCAUAUACCUUGAUAUCGCAAUCGCUGGCCCGCUGGAGGCAAUGGUAGUGAUCAGCAAGGACGAGUGUCAAAAUCGAAUAGAAUUACCACCAUCGCUUUC